AUUAAGGGGAAUUAACCUAGGCACAUCAAGGCACAUCUAUUACAAUCCUCCCCCCUUAAGACAAAUAUUAAAGAAAUUAAUAUUUGGGAAAAGAACUAUUAAAAAUAGAUGUGGUAAAAAAACAAUAAAGAAUAUAAAUCAAUGCACAUAAAAUGUCAAAAAAUGUCACAAAAAUGUCAAAUAAUCACACGGUCCAACCAUAGGAAAAGUUCCACACAGUAUAAACGUCCAGGAAUAGAUGGUAAACACAAAUUAUAAAGUACGGUCCAUAGAAUAUAAAUGUAAACGGACACAGUUAUACAGCAUUCAAUAAAACACAGUUCUUCAAACGGAAACGGAAUGUUAAUACGGAUAAUCUGCAUGGUCCAAGUUGUACCAGGUAUAGUCCACCAAUUGUUGUUCUCACGAAAACACUUUAAACGUGUGUUUUCGGGUUCUAAAAAGUCCAUCGUUGUACCAGGUUUAGUCCACCAUUGUAGAUCUCACGGAAUCACGUAUAACAUGUGAUUCCGGGUUCAAGAUGAUCAAAGUUCAAACGUUGUACAAAAAGUAAGAAAGGUGCUCUUGAUAACAAGAACUGCUUACUUUAUCAGGUGGUUGUCUUCACACAUAAACUUUCUGCCACUCAAUAGAUUUCUGCCAUGACUUAUAAAAGUCACAAAAGGAAAACCAUAACCAAACUAAACAAAUUUAAAACAAUAAAACUUGUUCAGAAAGGUUAAAAAUCCAAAAAAUGAGCAAACUCAUAAAUAAACCUAUUCAAACAAGAAACUUAGCUACAAACUAAACAAACCAACAUCUAAAGAAAAACACAAUCAAAUCAAACAACGUUUUGAGGGUGUUUUGAUGGCAAAACCGGCUCAUUAACGUGACCAAGAAAAAACAACAAAUCCAAUGAAAACUUUGAAACCAUACCUACUAAACAA
rnacentral:lncRNA from 1 species